rnacentral:lncRNA from 1 species
GGGGCACCAUACUGCACCGUGGGGCACUGUAUGGCACCGUGGGGCAGCGUGCAGCACCGUGGGGCACCAUACGGCAUCGGGGGGCACAAUGCAACACCAUGGGGCACCAUGCGGCACUGGGGGGCACCAUGCAACACCAUGGGGCACCGUGCAGUGCUGUGGGGCACCAUGCAGCACCGUGGGGCGCUGUAUGGCACCGGGGGGCACCGUACAAUGUUGUGGGGCACCAUGCAGCACCGUGGGGCACAAUGCAACACCAUGGGGCACUGUGCAAUGCUGUGGGGCACUGUGCAAGGUUUUAGGAUACCGUGCAAGGCCAUGGAGCACCAUGCAGCGCCAUGCAGUGCCAUGGGACUCCAUGCAACACCAUGGGGCGCUGUGCAGUGCCAUGGGGUGCCGUGCAAUGCCGUGGGGAGCUGUGCAACACCACAGAGCACCGUGCAAUGCCAUGGGGCACUGCAUAGUGCUGUGGGACACCGUGCAACACCACGGAGCAUCAUGCAACACUGUGGGACACUGUGCAGUGCUGUGGGACUCUGCGCAACACCAUGGGACACCACGCAUUGCCAUGGAGCACCGUGCAAUGCUAUGGAGCACCGUGCAAUGCUAUGGGGCACCGUGCAACACCAUGGGGCACCGUGCAAUGCCAGAGGGUAUCAUGCAACACCACAGGGCACUGCGACGCAGCAGGACACCGUGCUGGGACAUGGGGGCCACCACGCAGCACUGCAGGGCGCUGUGCUGGGACGUGGUGCACCGUGAGGUGCUGUGGGCACCGUGCAACACCGGGGGAGCGCCAUGCAAUGCAGGGAGCACUGUGUUAGGAUACAGGGGGCCAAAUAAUGCUGGGGGGCACCGUGCAAUUCUGUGGGAUGUUGUGCAACGUGGUGGGGCACCGUGGCGGGCUGGGGGGCGGCACACAAUGCCACCAGCCAACCUCGGCGGAGCCCCGGGGUGCCCCGGGACGUACCUCGAAGGUGCCAGCCUUGAGCAGGGUGACCUGGUCGUGCUGGGACAGGGCCUGGAAGCCGGGAAUGUGCUUGGCGAACUCGACCACCUCGCGGACGGCGGGGGUGAAGCUGAGGGAGAAGUCCUCCCAGAUCUCCUGCACCGAGCGCCCGCUGCGCCCCGGCGGGUGGCUGUUCAUGGGGCAGGCCUGCGGGCGACGCGCACGGCUCAGCACGGGGCUCGCCGGCAAGGCGAUUAGCGCGAUUAGCGGC